ACUCCUACGGGAGGCAGCAGUGGGGAAUAUUGGACAAUGGGGGAAACCCGUAGCAUCCAGCCAUGCCGCGUGUGUGAAGAAGGCCUUCGGGUUGUAAAGCACUUUCAGUGGGGAGGAAAGGUUGUUGGUUAAUACCUAACAGCUGUGACGUUACCCACAGAAGAAGCACCGGCUAACUCCGUGCCAGCAGCCGCGGUAAUACGGAGGGUGCAAGCGUUAAUCGGAAUUACUGGGCGUAAAGCGUGCGCAGGCGGUCUGUUAAGCGAGAUGUGAAAGCCCCGGCUGC
rnacentral:rRNA from 1 species